rnacentral:lncRNA from 1 species
GCAGGACUUUGGGAAUAAAAAAAAUGACUUUAUUAUUAGCAUACAAGGGUGCUGCAAUAAUAUGGGGCUUUUAAUCCACAAUAAAGCUGUAUGGUGCUCACAUGAGCGAGUUGAUUGUGACUUAAGUGCAUUUUCUCAGAUGUUCAAACCAGUCUCAUCUUCGAUUUUGACUCGGCUAACAUGUGACUCCUACAGGUCCGGCUUGCAGAUCCAUGUUGUAUUUCAGAGCCAAUGGAAUGAAGAUCCAACAGCUCUGGGACUUCUUGUUCCAUGACACUCAGACUUUGCCCAGUAUUUGAAGUCUUUCUUCAGCUUCAGAGACAGAGAGAAAGGUGAACAAAGACAAGAAGAGAGACAGACUUAGAAAAGUUCACGUCAAGCCAUCGCCCGCUGUGGUGACUGUUUCUUAACAUCCCGACCCAGCCCGUCUCUCCAUUGCCUGUUUUUUCCCUUUGAGAGUAACUUGGUUGCUUGAAAUAUCUCCAGCACUGCAGGCUCAAAAUUGGAAAUGGAAAGAGAAGCCACAGAGCAGCCUGGGGUGACUCUGCUGCAGAACAGGGUGGUCACCAUCACCACACACAGCCACACACAUUGUGUUGGUCGCUGUCUCAGGCUGGUCUCUCUCCCAUCUGCUUACUGUUUGUGAUCUUCCGAUAUUAGUAAACGCCUCUGCGUUUCUCUCCUGUUUGCACAUACUUACUGCUUUUGCAAAGGACAUGAACUUAGUUCUCAGCAUACAUGUUGGGCAGCUCACAAUUGCCUGUAACUCCAGCUGCAGGUGUCCAAUGCCUCCGCAUGAC